CACUAUCGUUAACUGAAUACAUAGGUUAACGAGGCGAACCGGGGGAACUGAAACAUCUAAGUACCCCGAGGAAAAGAAAUCAACCGAGAUUCCCCCAGUAGCGGCGAGCGAACGGGGAGCAGCCCAGAGUCUGAAUCAGCUUGUGUGUUAGUGGAACGGUCUGGAAAGUCCGACGGUACAGGGUGAUAGUCCCGUACACCAAAAUGCACAGGCUGUGAACUCGAAGAGUAGGGCGGGACACGUGGUAUCCUGUCUGAAUAUGGGGGGACCAUCCUCCAAGGCUAAAUACUCCUGACUGACCGAUAGUGAACCAGUACCGUGAGGGAAAGGCGAAAAGAACCCCGGCGAGGGGAGUGAAAAAGAACCUGAAACCGUGUACGUACAAGCAGUGGGAGCACCUUCGGGUGUGACUGCGUACCUUUUGUAUAAUGGGUCAGCGACUUAUAUUCUGUAGCAAGGUUAACCGUAUAGGGGAGCCGCAGGGAAACCGAGUCUUAACUGGGCGUUAAGUUGCAGGGUAUAGACCCGAAACCCGGUGAUCUAGCCAUGGGCAGGUUGAAGGUUGGGUAACACUAACUGGAGGACCGAACCGACUAAUGUUGAAAAAUUAGCGGAUGACUUGUGGCUGGGGGUGAAAGGCCAAUCAAACCGGGAGAUAGCUGGUUCUCCCCGAAAGCUAUUUAGGUAGCGCCUCGUGAAUUCAUCUUCGGGGGUAGAGCACUGUUUCGGCUAGGGGGUCAUCCCGACUUACCAACCCGAUGCAAACUACGAAUACCGAAGAAUGUUAUCACGGGAGACACACGGCGGGUGCUAACGUCCGUCGUGAAGAGGGAAACAACCCAGACCGCCAGCUAAGGUCCCAAAGUCAUGGUUAAGUGGGAAACGAUGUGGGAAGGCACAGACAGCCAGGAUGUUGGCUUAGAAGCAGCCAUCAUUUAAAGAAAGCGUAAUAGCUCACUGGUCGAGUCGGCCUGCGCGGAAGAUGUAACGGGGCUAAACCAUGCACCGAAGCUGCGGCAGCGACACUAUGUGUUGUUGGGUAGGGGAGCGUUCUGUAAGCCUGCGAAGGUGUGCUGUGAGGCAUGCUGGAGGUAUCAGAAGUGCGAAUGCUGACAUAAGUAACGAUAAAGCGGGUGAAAAGCCCGCUCGCCGGAAGACCAAGGGUUCCUGUCCAACGUUAAUCGGGGCAGGGUGAGUCGACCCCUAAGGCGAGGCCGAAAGGCGUAGUCGAUGGGAAACAGGUUAAUAUUCCUGUACUUGGUGUUACUGCGAAGGGGGGACGGAGAAGGCUAUGUUAGCCGGGCGACGGUUGUCCCGGUUUAAGCAUGUAGGCUGAUUGUCCAGGCAAAUCCGGAUAAUCAAGGCUGAGGUGUGAUGACGAGGCACUACGGUGCUGAAGUAACAAAUGCCCUGCUUCCAGGAAAAGCCUCUAAGCAUCAGGUAACAUCAAAUCGUACCCCAAACCGACACAGGUGGUCAGGUAGAGAAUACCAAGGCGCUUGAGAGAACUCGGGUGAAGGAACUAGGCAAAAUGGUGCCGUAACUUCGGGAGAAGGCACGCUGGUGUGUAGGUGAAGUCCCUGCGGAUGGAGCUGAGACCAGUCGAAGAUACCAGCUGGCUGCAACUGUUUAUUAAAAACACAGCACUGUGCAAACACGAAAGUGGACGUAUACGGUGUGACGCCUGCCCGGUGCCGGAAGGUUAAUUGAUGGGGUUAUCCGUAAGGAGAAGCUCUUGAUCGAAGCCCCGGUAAACGGCGGCCGUAACUAUAACGGUCCUAAGGUAGCGAAAUUCCUUGUCGGGUAAGUUCCGACCUGCACGAAUGGCGUAAUGAUGGCCAGGCUGUCUCCACCCGAGACUCAGUGAAAUUGAACUCGCUGUGAAGAUGCAGUGUACCCGCGGCAAGACGGAAAGACCCCGUGAACCUUUACUAUAGCUUGACACUGAACAUUGAGCCUUGAUGUGUAGGAUAGGUGGGAGGCUUUGAAGCGUGGACGCCAGUCUGCGUGGAGCCAACCUUGAAAUACCACCCUUUAAUGUUUGAUGUUCUAACGUUGGCCCCUGACCGGGGUUGCGGACAGUGUCUGGUGGGUAGUUUGACUGGGGCGGUCUCCUCCCAAAGCGUAACGGAGGAGCACGAAGGUUAGCUAAUCCUGGUCGGACAUCAGGAGGUUAGUGCAAUGGCAUAAGCUAGCUUGACUGCGAGCGUGACGGCGCGAGCAGGUGCGAAAGCAGGUCAUAGUGAUCCGGUGGUUCUGAAUGGAAGGGCCAUCGCUCAACGGAUAAAAGGUACUCCGGGGAUAACAGGCUGAUACCGCCCAAGAGUUCAUAUCGACGGCGGUGUUUGGCACCUCGAUGUCGGCUCAUCACAUCCUGGGGCUGAAGUAGGUCCCAAGGGUAUGGCUGUUCGCCAUUUAAAGUGGUACGCGAGCUGGGUUUAGAACGUCGUGAGACAGUUCGGUCCCUAUCUGCCGUGGGCGCUGGAGAAUUGAGGGGGGCUGCUCCUAGUACGAGAGGACCGGAGUGGACGCAUCACUGGUGUUCGGGUUGUCAUGCCAAUGGCACUGCCCGGUAGCUAAAUGCGGAAGAGAUAAGUGCUGAAAGCAUCUAAGCACGAAACUUGCCCCGAGAUGAGUUCUCCCUGAGACUUUAAGUCUCCUGAAGGAACGUUAAAGACGAUGACGUUGAUAGGCCGGGUGUGUAAGCGCAGCGAUGCGUUGAGCUAACCGGUACUAAUGAACCGUGAGGCUUAACCUU
rnacentral:rRNA from 1 species